GCUCCAAUGACUUAGUGGUUAGAGUGUCCGCCUCAGAUGUGGGAAUUCGUGGGAUCGAUCCCCGGCCGAGUCA